UGGUAGAGCAAGGCACGAGCCGAAAUCACUUCUUCUCGUACAGUCGUGGUGAGCGCGAGAAUAGCCCAAGCGAACCGUCUAAGAGUUAGAGUAUUCCGAGCGAAAUCGUAUAUAUCGUAAGAAGGAAAGAAGGCGAACAUUCGAACCAUUCGAAUUACAUUUAGAAAAAUAAAAUAAAAUUAUUGCGAAGAAUGUGAGGAAUGUCGUCGGUGAACGAAGAUUUUCUAAGACCGCUGCCGAGACAAUCGGGAUUUUUUUACUCUACCAAAAAGAAAGUAUGAAUGUAAACAAAAUCAGCGAUAUUUUUCCAAUGGCUAGAAGAAAAUGUUUUUAUCUCAAUUACGGACUCGGCUAAUCAAAAAAUGAGAUUUUCAUUUAAAUACCUGAGAAAAUUCUUUUCCCUUUCAAGAAUAUUUUUUAUUAACCACAAAAUUUUGUAGAAAGAAAAUGAAUUACACAGUUUUGCUAAAGAAUUACAAAAUUAGCUACAAAAAAGAUUCAUGAGUAAAGUUUGUAUGGCUAAUACUUCUCGAAUUAUAUAGUUGGAUACACAAUUUUUAAUUAAAACUGGUGGAAAAUCAUAUAGAGAACCAGUCAUUCGGAAAUAAUUCGUAAAAUAUUGGUUUCCUGAAAAUUCUACAAGGGAACUUUUUCCUAGAAAAUUAAAUUGUCUAUAAAAAACAUUCUAUACAAAGUCAUAAAAUCGAUCUUUUUGGAGAUUUUUGGUGAUUGAUGUUUUUUAACAUAUUAAAAAUGUUAGAAAAUUAAUUUUUCGCAGGUAACUUACGAAAUAUCAAUUUGGAAUUCAAAAUAACUACUCAAUAUAUGUAAGAUAAUUUAUGCAAAUACAUUACGAAUCUUUCUUCUUUAUCUUUUAAAAUGCAUUGUUGAUAUCCAAGUAAUUUUAGAAAGAACUUCGAGAUACAUUAAAGAAUAGAAAUAAAAAUAACUAGAACAAAAUAUAUUGAACAAAUACAACACCCAGAAAAUACUUACAAUAAGCAAUAAAUCAAUACAAAUUUAAUUAGAAUCACGAG